GAUGAACGCUGGCGGCGUGCCUAACACAUGCAAGUCGAACGGGAAUUAUUUUAUUGAAACUUCGGUCGAUUUAAUUUAAUUCUAGUGGCGGACGGGUGAGUAACGCGUGGGUAACCUGCCUUAUACAGGGGGAUAACAGUCAGAAAUGGCUGCUAAUACCGCAUAAGCGCACAGAGCUGCAUGGCUCAGUGUGAAAAACUCCGGUGGUAUAAGAUGGACCCGCGUUGGAUUAGCUGGUUGGUGGGGUAACGGCCCACCAAGGCGACGAUCCAUAGCCGGCCUGAGAGGGUGAACGGCCACAUUGGGACUGAGACACGGCCCAGACUCCUACGGGAGGCAGCAGUGGGGAAUAUUGCACAAUGGGGGAAACCCUGAUGCAGCGACGCCGCGUGAAGGAAGAAGUAUCUCGGUAUGUAAACUUCUAUCAGCAGGGAAGAUAGUGACGGUACCUGACUAAGAAGCCCCGGCUAACUACGUG
rnacentral:rRNA from 1 species